CAUGCUCACUUAAUUUUAUUACAGAAAUGUACACAGUUUAGUCACAAUAAGUUCUAAUACAAGAAAAAAGUCACUCCCCUGGGCUGUCCCAAACCCGACUUUAUUUGUAAACCAGUUAUUAUGAAUGUAUUAAAAUUAAAUAAUUACUUCAUCAUCAUUAAUUUUAUACAGAACAAUAACUUAGGAACACUGUCUUAUAAGUCAAAUUACAUAAAUUCAAAUUUUUCAUAAAUAAUAUCAAUGCCGAAAUUUGUCCUCCGUAUUUUGUGUCUCGUCCCCUGGCUUUUUGUUUUUGUUUAAAAAUCAGUUUUGUUUUACUAUUUUGUGGAAGUUGUGGCCUUUAGUGCAUAGGAUGUAACGUGAAGCUAUCAACAAGAGGCGCAUAAGCCGACUGCGAAGUCAUUUUAACCGCCAUUUCAAUCACGCCGCUUCGCUGGGUGUAGAAGUGUUGAGUGAAUGCAGUCUUUCCUCUGAAAAAAUGGCAUCUAGAAAGCUAAAGCGCUUGAGAAAACCUGCCCGAAUAUGAAAACUUUCACCGUAGAUAUACCGUAGACAUACUAUCGGAAAAAGCAGCAACAUUAGGUUCUACUGAAGGUAUAAAGACUUUUUUAGGCACAGUAAAGGUUCACCAUGUUACCGGUUGCGUAUUUUUACCUAAUUGG